rnacentral:rRNA from 1 species
AGUGAACGCUGGCGGUAGGCCUAACACAUGCAAGUCGAACGGCAGCACAGUAAGAGCUUGCUCUUACGGGUGGCGAGUGGCGGACGGGUGAGGAAUACGUCGGAAUCUACUUUUUCGUGGGGGAUAACGUAGGGAAACUUACGCUAAUACCGCAUACGACCUACGGGUGAAAGCAGGGGAUCUUCGGACCUUGCGCGAUUGAAUGAGCCGAUGUCGGAUUAGCUAGUUGGCGGGGUAAAGGCCCACCAAGGCGACGAUCCGUAGCUGGUCUGAGAGGAUGAUCAGCCACACUGGAACUGAGACACGGUCCAGACUCCUACGGGAGGCAGCAGUGGGGAAUAUUGGACAAUGGGCGCAAGCCUGAUCCAGCCAUACCGCGUGGGUGAAGAAGGCCUUCGGGUUGUAAAGCCCCUUUGUUGGGAAAGAAAAGCAGCAGGUUAAUACCCCGCUGUUCUGACGGUACCCAAAGAAUAAGCACCGGCUAACUUCGUG